CGGUUGGCAAGGCACUUUACGGCCGUCGUGCUGUUCGUGUCGGUCAACAUGGAGGGAGAGGAAUCCGAGAAGGCCGGAACUGAGCAAGAGACGCUGGAAGGGACGGACCAGGCACUAGACGCAGAGGAGGAGCAGGAGGAAUCCGAAGAAGUGGCUUGUGGCAGCAAGAAGCGGGUAGUGCCAGGUAUCGUGUACCUGGGACAUAUCCCGCCGCGCUUCCGGCCCCUGCACGUCCGCAACCUUCUCAGUGCCUACGGCGAGGUGGGACGCGUUUUCUUUCAGGCUGAGGACAGGUUCGUGAGACGCAAGAAGAAGGCAGCAGCAGCCGCGGGAGGAAAGAAGCGGUCCUACAGCAAGGACUACACCGAGGGAUGGGUGGAGUUCCGCGACAAGCGCGUAGCCAAGCGCGUGGCAGCCAGUCUACACAACACGCCUAUGGGUGCCCGCAGGCGCAGCCCCUUCCGUUAUGACCUAUGGAACCUCAAGUACUUGCACCGUUUCACCUGGUCCCACCUCAGCGAGCACCUUGCCUUUGAGCGCCAGGUGCGCAGGCAGCGCCUGAGAGCGGAGGUUGCUCAGGCCAAGCGUGAGACCGACUUCUAUCUUCAAAGUGUAGAACGGGGACAACGCUUUCUUGCUGCUGAUGGGGACCCUGCCCGCCCAGAUGGCUCCUGGACAUUUGCCCAGCGUCCUACUGAGCAGGAACUGAGGGCCCGGAAAGCAGCACGGCCAGGGGGCCGUGAACGGGCUCGCCUGGCAACUGUCCAGGACAAGGCCCGCUCCAACAAAGGGCUCCUGGCCAGGAUCUUUGGAGCCCCGCUACCCUCAGAGAGCAUGGAUGGAACGUCCCUGGUCAGGGACUCCUGAGGGCCAGGGGGACUCCUGAGGGCCAGGGAGACCCCUUCCAUCUCCUGGCCCUGCUCUACUUCCUGUCUACCUCAUACUAGAAGGAUUGUGACUACCCAGGCAGACAUUUUAUUGUGUUUUUCAGACCAAAUGUCUCUGGUCAGGGCCCAAACGUGGAAGUUUUGUGGGCUUCUACUGUUCCCUCUCCAAACUCAUGCCUGGGUGAACCGGAAAAAUCCAGAAUCAGAAUUUGACAGGCUGACAUGUUGAUUUGUUCAGAAUUCCAAGUGCCCAUUGCCACCUCUGCUAGAUAAAGCGAUACCAAGGUGAAGAAGAAACUUUCCCUCAAGUUGCUGACAGCUUGGAAGGUACCAGACAUAGUGGUAUUUUCGGGGUUUUAUUUAAGACUUUCUUGAAUGAAGAAAGAAAUUGCAUUCCCAGGGUGGUCAGCAUUAGAUAGUAGUAUGUUCAAGGGUUUGUAUUUCAGACUCGAUCUCCAAAACAGUUCAGCAUAAAGAGCUCACACCUGCAGCCAUGCAAGCUGGGUAAGUCAAAAGUGAGGAAUGAGAAUAAGUGGGUGGAAGAAGAUAUCCCAGGAACUUUCAUUUUGACUUUAAGCCCAUUGAGGGUAGGAAAAUAAUUUUACAUCCAUAAUUUUGUUUCCAUUUAAACAGCACUUUGUUUUUUUAUAUGACUUAACUCAUUUAAUCCACAACUAUAUAACGUUAUCCCCCAUUAAAAGUGAGCUCAGAGAUAUGACUCAGUUUGCUUAGUAUUUUAUCCUUGGUUCCCAACCUUUUCCCCAGCUUUUCCCAGUGUGUAUAUGGUGAAUGCUUAUUGCAUGAGACUCAUGAGAAAUGCAUGUCACAGACUAGAGAAUAAAGUGUACCUGCAAAUAUGAGUGGAUUUCUUUUGUCUAAGACCAAGAAUAACAAACAGUAAUAAUUCUCAAGUCAUUAUCCUGUGCUUGCAAUGUAUACUCUGAUUCAGCUUAGUUCAGCUCCUGACUGAGAAGCUGGGACUCUGCAUUAGAUGGCAAUAUAGUGGGCAGGUUUCUUUCCAAGUAAGUUGAGGUGGGACUCCUGAUAGAGUAAGGAGGCUUUAAUAGGGUGGUCUGGGUGCCUAAAAACGUUUUUUUUUCCCCCCCAGAGACAGGGUCUUGCUAUGUUGCCUAGGCUGGUCUCCUGGGCUGGGAACUCCUGGGCUCAAGGAUCCUCCCACCUUGGCUUCCCAAAGCACUGGGAUUACAGGCAUGAGUCACCAUGCUCCGCCCUAAAAAUGUUCAAAAGUCAUAUUUACAGGUACUCUCAAAUUACUUUUUUGUGAUUCCUCAUAAAACCUUUCUCCCUGCAAUUUGCCUUGCUAUAUGCAGUAGAAUUAUGAGGUGAAAAUCUUAUGGUGGAAGUCUAGGGACCUGCUCAGUUCCCCAGGAGGCUUAAUAUGAAUUUUAGCAAAUUGCUUAAGAUCCAAUAUUAGAUCUGCUGAUCCCCGCCCACCCCCCUUUUAUUUUUUGAGAUAGAUUUUCACUUUGUCAACCAGGCUGUAGUACAGUGGCACGAUUAUGCCUCGCUGCAGUCUCCAUUUUCUGGGCUCAAGCAUCCUGCCACCUCAGCGUCCUGUGACCAUAGGCAUGCACCAUCAUGCCCAGCUAAUUUAUAAGAUUUUUUUGUGUGGAGAUGAGAUCUCUCUGUGUUGCCCAGGCUGCUCUUGAACUCCUGUUCUCAAGCGAUCCACCCACCUCGGCCUCCCAAAGUGCUAGGAUUACAGCCACUGCGCCCAGCCCCCAUCUUGAAAUCAAUACUUGACAGAAUAUUAAACAAAAUGAAUAUCGGCUGGGCAUGGUAGCUCACCCCUGUAAUCUCAGCACUUUGGGAGACUGAGGCAGGCAGAUUACUUGAGGUCAGGAGUUCAAGACCAACCUAGCCAACAUGGUGAAACCCUGUCUGUACUAAAAAUACAAAAAUUAGCUGGGUGUGGUGGUGAGUGCCUGUGAUCCCAGCUAUACAGGAGGUUGAGGCAGGAGACUCGCUUGAACUUCAGAGGUGGAGGUUGCAGUGAGCUGAGGUUGAAAAUGAGAAGUUUUCAAUCCUCUGUGACAAUGGCUCUUGAAACCACACUUUCUUCCCACCCAUUAUUAACUAGAGACAUGAAGGCAGGCUGAAGGGAGAGGCGUCAGAAACCUGGCGAAGUCUUUUGCAGCUGUGUGGUGUGUGCCCAGCCACCUUCAGCAGUUAUUGUAGUGGCCAGUCUGUGGGUGACCUGGGCUGUCAGGGUUGGCGGACUCCAGCGAUGUCCCCCAGCACAUGAGCUGCCAAUCAAUUCAGAGAGCUUAUUUUUGUUUUUCACCUUGGCCUCCAAUUCCAUUAUGUCAAUUAUUAUUGAUUAUUUAAUCAGGACUUUAUGGAUGGAUGUGCAGCUUCUUCUAAUCUUUUUUUCUUUUAAGUGUUAAGAAUAAUCCUGACAUGAGUUAACUUUAGCUAUACAAAUAGAGCAGUUGCGUAAAAAACUGUCAGAAGUGGAAUUGCAGAGUCUAAGAGAGACUGUCUUCGGUAUUUAUUUUGUAAGCAAGAAAAAAUUUGAGAGAGUCUGAUGAUUUAAGAAAAUAGCAGUCACAGGAAACCUAUAGACAUCCUAGCUAGAGGUCUCCACCACUUUCAUUCGUGGUCUAUUGUGACAUCCAAAGCCUGACCCAAGGAACUGAUUCAGGUAGAGACAAUGCCAGCUCAGUGCAGAGGGCAAGUUCUGCAGGACCUUGGCUAAGUGAUUUCUGCUGCUUUUUGCUGUGGGGACUCUACUGAUGGUCCAGCACAAUGAGAAAGAUGGAGUUUGGAAACAAAUGAAGUGGUCCAGAACGAUGGGACUGUUCAUACCUGCUGGCAUUUAGAAGGAAGUUGGUAAAUUUAAUCAAGAAACAAGGAAAUGAAGACACCCAAGGAACAACAGGGGAAGAAUAAUGAUUGGAUUUUCAUUUAAUUUGUCAGACACAAUUCCCGAAGUAAGAAAAUAACAUUUCUCACAGAAUUACGGCACCAGGUCUCAAACCACCAACCCUUCGGUUCACAGCCGAAUGUGCUAACCAGUUGCACCACAUAAAUGAAUGUGGUGGAGGGUCUUUAUUCCAACAAGGUUAUUUAACUUUUUUCAGUCUAAACAACACAUUAGAAAGGAGGCUGCUUCUCGUUGUAUUGGAAAAAUGUUCCCCCAUUUUUUGACUUACAUUGUUCCUAUGUUAAUGUGUUUUAGAAACAGGAUUAUAAUUAUACAGAUAUUAUUCUUAGAGAAGAACAUCAGAGUGUUAAUUGAGUGGAAAGCAGGAUGCUGGACUGGUGCCUGUUUUUCCAAAUAAGUGAGUAGAAUCAAAGCAAAGACCUCAGACAGAAUUUAUUUUCAGGCCCAUAAGGAAGUUUUCGCUGAUAGUUCAGUUGAGAGAAGCCACUGGAAGGCUGUUGCAUAGAGGAGGAUAUAUUAAAUGGGAAAGACACCAGCAAGAGCAGAGGGGAAAACCAUUUAGUGGAAAAUCUGAUACAAAUAUUAAGGAAUACUACGGUAAUUUAAGGGGUCAAACCCCGGGAUAGGAAACCUGAACCACCUAUACAUUAGUGCUUUGUGCAGUGUUCGUGUCAAGGGUUUGAGACAGUUAGCAUGACUCGCCCCAUCUUGGCUGCUGGACCUAUCUGUACUCCCCCCAUCUCCAGGGCUGUCGAGCUGAGACAAAGGUCACGGGCUGAGUCAUUGAGGCAAAAACAGAAUGCAAAGCAAAGGUCUGCGGUUUAUGAGGACAUUGUGUUGUCUGCUUUCAUGUCCCCAUCAGUCUCUGUGCAAGCAAUAAACUUGCUACAAUUGAGAUGCCUAAGAGGGACAAGAGACCCCUGCCCAUAUUUUCACUGGAGCUAAGCCUUUGUUCUACCUCCUGAUGGAAAACAGGAUUAACAAGCCACCUUAAGGGCACCAUUGUUUGCUUGCACUGUGUAUCUUUGAAAAACAUAAACUGCUUUGUAAACUAUUAUCACAAGCCCCCUUAAACUGCUUUGUGAGAGGUUAUCACAAGCCCCUGAUCACUAUUUCUAUGGAGUUUCUAUUUCCUUUCUGUUUACCCCUUUUCUGCUGAGAUAAAGUAAAUGUAACAAGAAAAAAGGUAUAAAAGCUGUAACCCACAAGAAUAAACUUGCUGCGUUUUGACCAUAA